UAGGGAAUCUUCCGCAAUGGACGCAAGUCUGACGGAGCAACGCCGCGUGAGUGAAGAAGGAUUUCGGUUCGUAAAACUCUGUUGUUAGAGAAGAACAGCGCAUAGAGUAACUGUUAUGCGUGUGACGGUACCUAAUCAGAAAGCCACGGCUAACUACGUGCCAGCAGCCGCGGUAAUACGUAGGUGGCAAGCGUUGUCCGGAUUUAUUGGGCGUAAAGCGAGCGCAGGCGGUCAAUUAAGUCUGAUGUGAAAGCCCCCGGCUCAACCGGGGAGGGUCAUUGGAAACUGGUUGACUUGAGUGCAGAAGAGGAGAGUAGAAUUCCAUGUGUAGCGGUGAAAUGCGUAGAUAUAUGGAGGAACACCAGUGGCGAAGGCGACUCUCUGGUCUGUAACUGACGCUGAGGCUCGAAAGCGUGGGUAGCAAACAGG
rnacentral:rRNA from 1 species